rnacentral:rRNA from 1 species
UACGAAGGGGGCUAGCGUUGCUCGGAAUCACUGGGCGUAAAGCGCACGUAGGCGGCUUCUUAAGUCAGGGGUGAAAUCCUGGAGCUCAACUCCAGAACUGCCUUUGAUACUGAGGAGCUUGAGUCCGGGAGAGGUGAGUGGAACUGCGAGUGUAGAGGUGAAAUUCGUAGAUAUUCGCAAGAACACCAGUGGCGAAGGCGGCUCACUGGCCCGGGUACUGACGCUGAGGUGCGAAAGCGUGGGGAGCAAACAGG